rnacentral:rRNA from 1 species
UACAUGGGGUGCAAACGUUGCUCGGAAUUAUUGGGCGUAAAGCGCACGUAGGUGGUCUGUUAUGUCGGAUGUGAAAGCCCUCGGCUUAACUGUGGGCGUGCGGGCGAUACGGGCAGACUUGAGUACUGCAGGGGAGACUGGAAUUCCUGGUGUAGCGGUGGAAUGCGCAGAUAUCAGGAGGAACACCGGUGGCGAAGGCGGGUCUCUGGGCAGUGAACUGACGCUGAGGAGCGAAAAGCGUGGGGAGCGAACAGG